rnacentral:rRNA from 1 species
GAUGAACGCUGGCGGCGUGCCUAAUACAUGCAAGUCGAGCGAAUGGAUUAAGAGCUUGCUCUUAUGAAGUUAGCGGCGGACGGGUGAGUAACACGUGGGUAACCUGCCCAUAAGACUGGGAUAACUCCGGGAAACCGGGGCUAAUACCGGAUAACAUUUUGAACCGCAUGGUUCGAAAUUGAAAGGCGGCUUCGGCUGUCACUUAUGGAUGGACCCGCGUCGCAUUAGCUAGUUGGUGAGGUAACGGCUCACCAAGGCAACGAUGCGUAGCCGACCUGGGAGGGUGAUCGGCCAACCUGGACUGGGACACGGCCCGGACUCCUACGGGAGGCAGCAGUAGGGAAUCUUCCGCAAUGGACGAAAGUCUGACGGAGCAACGCCGCGUGAGUGAUGAAGGCUUUCGGGUCGCAAAACUCUGUUGUUAGGGAAGAACAAGUGCUAGUUGAAUAAGCUGGCACCUUGACGGUACCUAACCAGAAAGCCACGGCUAACUACGUGCCAGCAGCCGCGGUAA